rnacentral:rRNA from 1 species
UAACAGUUGGAAACGACUGCUAAUACCGCAUAAGCGCACAGGAUUGCAUGAUCCGGUGUGAAAAACUCCGGUGGUAUGAGAUGGACCCGCGUCUGAUUAGCCAGUUGGCAGGGUAACGGCCUACCAAAGCGACGAUCAGUAGCCGACCUGAGAGGGUGACCGGCCACAUUGGGACUGAGACACGGCCCAAACUCCUACGGGAGGCAGCAGUGGGGAAUAUUGCACAAUGGGGGAAACCCUGAUGCAGCGACGCCGCGUGAGCGAAGAAGUAUUUCGGUAUGUAAAGCUCUAUCAGCAGGGAAGAAGAAUGACGGUACCUGACUAAGAAGCACCGGCUAAAUACGUGCCAGCAGCCGCGGUAAUACGUAUGGUGCAAGCGUUAUCCGGAUUUACUGGGUGUAAAGGGAGCGCAGGCGGUGCGGCAAGUCUGAUGUGAAAGCCCGGGGCUCAACCCCGGUACUGCAUUGGAAACUGUCGUACUAGAGUGUCGGAGGGGUAAGUGGAAUUCCUAGUGUAGCGGUGAAAUGCGUAGAUAUUAGGAGGAACACCAGUGGCGAAGGCGGCUUACUGGACGAUAACUGACGCUGAGGCUCGAAAGCGUGGGGAGCAAACAGGAUUAGAUACCCUGGUAGUCCACGCCGU